CUUCGUUCUCUCUACACAUGCUGGCUUUUAAAGGAAUCUGUAGAGAAGUACGGGAAUAGUCUUUCAGUGGUAAACAACAGACCUAACUGAAGACAGAACUGGCCCUUCCUGGCACGGGGUCACCCCACUGGUCCUGGGAAAUUGUUUU